UACGUAGGGUGCGAGCGUUGUCCGGAAUUAUUGGGCGUAAAGGGCUCGUAGGCGGUUUGUUGCGUCGGGAGUGAAAACUCAGGGCUUAACCCUGAGCCUGCUUCCGAUACGGGCAGACUAGAGGUAUGCAGGGGAGACUGGAAUUCCUGGUGUAGCGGUGGAAUGCGCAGAUAUCAGGAGGAACACCGGUGGCGAAGGCGGGUCUCUGGGCAGUAACUGACGCUGAGGAGCGAAAGCGUGGGGAGCGAACAGG
rnacentral:rRNA from 1 species